rnacentral:rRNA from 1 species
UACGUAGGGUGCAAGCGUUUGUCCGGAAUUAUUGGGCGUAAAGAGCUCGUAGGCGGUCUGUUGCGUCGGCUGUGAAAACCCGAGGCUCAACCUCGGGCCUGCAGCCGAUACGGGCAGACUAGAGUUCGGCAGGGGAGACUGGAAUUCCUGGUGUAGCGGUGAAAUGCGCAGAUAUCAGGAGGAACACCGGUGGCGAAGGCGGGUCUCUGGGC